CCUAGGGGCGGCUGCAGUGGGGAAUAUUGGACAAUGGGCGAAAGCCUGAUCCAGCCAUGCCGCGUGUGUGAAGAAGGCCUUCGGGUUGUAAAGCACUUUCAGUGGGGAAGAAAGCCUUGGGGCUAAUACCCUCGAGGAAGGACAUCACCCACAGAAGAAGCACCGGCUAACUCCGUGCCAGCAGCCGCGGUAAUACGGAGGGUGCGAGCGUUAAUCGGAAUUACUGGGCGUAAAGCGCGCGUAGGCGGUCUGAUAAGCCGGUUGUGAAAGCCCCGGGCUCAACCUGGGAACGGCAUCCGGAACUGUCAGGCUAGAGUGCAGGAGAGGAAGGUAGAAUUCCCGGUGUAGCGGUGAAAUGCGUAGAGAUCGGGAGGAAUACCAGUGGCGAAGGCGGCCUUCUGGACUGACACUGACGCUGAGGUGCGAAAGCGUGGGUAGCAAACAGGAUUAGAUACCCGAGUAGUC
rnacentral:rRNA from 1 species